rnacentral:rRNA from 1 species
AACGAACGCCGGCGGCAGGCUUAACACAUGCAAGUCGAACGCCCCGCAAGGGGAGUGGCAGACGGGUGAGUAACGCGUGGGAAUCUACCUAGUUCUACGGAACAACAGAGGGAAACUUCUGCUAAUACCGUAUACGCCCUAAGGGGGAAAGAUUUAUCGGAAUUAGAUGAGCCCGCGUAAGAUUAGCUAGUUGGUGGGGUAAUGGCCUGCCAAGGCGACGAUCUUUAGCUGGUCUGAGAGGAUGAUCAGCCACACUGGGACUGAGACACGGCCCAGACUCCUACGGGAGGCAGCAGUGGGGAAUAUUGGACAAUGGGCGCAAGCCUGAUCCAGCCAUGCCGCGUGAGUGAUGAAGGCCUUAGGGUUGUAAAACUCUUUCAGUGGGGACGAUAAUGACGGUACCCACAGAAGAAGCCCCGGCUAACUUCGUGCCAGCAGCCGCCGUAAGAC